UUACUCAUUUUUUUUUACUUACUCACAAAAUCAUCUUAACAACAUAGUAUAUGAAUCACGUGUAAAGAGUUUCUCUCAUUUACUUACACGUUUAUUUACAUCUACACGAGUGUAGAUGAAGUGUGAAUUAAAGUGUAACAAUACUUGUAUUAGUACCAAGGAGAUCCUCUAUUUUAUGUCUAUAGACAGAAUCGAUUGCUCGUUAAAAUAAUAAUUGUUUUAUAAUGAUUAAUCUGAAUCAGUCAGAUGGUGGCAAUUUCAAUAGACAAAAGGUGUCUGUCUCAAUAUUUUCCAACAAAUCAAUUUGCACAAUAAACAUUUAGCAACUAGUAAGUAUCCGACUGGCUAGCAAAGGCACGGUAAAUAUUAGACGAUCGUUGUUAGCCAACAUUAUUCUCUAAACAAACGGUUGCCCAACCGAGUUCUCCAACGUUGCAAAAAGAUCAAUAUUAUCUUAGAUAUCGUGGAAAGGCAAGUGUUCAGCGUCUUUGCCCUUUCCUUGGAGCGAAAUUAACGCCUGGCUAUUUUCAAUCUUUCAUCUUUCGAGCUUCUUCUUCGACGUUGCGAAGAGCGCACGUUAUGCAAUUAGUGUGCAUCUCCUAAUUGACAUCGCCCAAGGUUGAACAAAAGAAGAGAUAUUAUAGGGAACACUCGAGUCUUCGAUCAUCGAGGCGAAUUUCAUCGUACGACGAAUUUCGCGAAUUUCGUUCGAGGAUCGGCCAGGUCUCGUAUUCGUUUCGUAUUCGAUUCGUAAACCGUCGAUCCUUCCUCGUUACUCGGAUGAUCCACACGCGGUAAAGGGAACGGGGUAUACCGUUUUUUAAUGCGAAAAAUCGGAUACCGUUUUAGUAUUUAUUCUCACGCGGAUCACGUAUCGUCUCGGCGCUUAAGAGUUCCAAGAAAGUUGGGCGUUUUAAGGUGAAGAUCGGAAGUAGACGUUUUAUUAUUUUUUUUUUUUUUUUUAGAAAUGACGAAUCAAGUGACGAGUCACGGGAAUGGAAACGAAAACGUUUGUAAAUCGUUGAAUAAGAAUUUUUUUUUAAAUUCGUUGAACUAAAAAACGUUGCAAGUUGUUAUUAGAAAAUUCGCGAUAAGUUUAUUGAGGAAUAUUGUACAUUUUCUUAAAAGUAACGAAUCAAUGAUGAAUCACAGAAAUAGAAAGGAAGACGUUGUAAAAUUUGAAAUAUAAAACGAUACGUUAUCAUUCGAUUGCAGAUGGCGCCAAACGAAGAUAAACGAAGAAAUUGUAAUAGCCAUGAAUAAAUAUUAUUUUAAUAAUCUAGUUUCGUGUUGGAGAAAUAUCCUCGAUCUAUCAAGCUAGAAAUAUUCGAGAGAAAGCUCGUCCGCGAAGGAUCAAAAAUAAAAUAAAAAUUUCAAAUUGUCGAAUUUCAGAAAAAAUAAAGGAUGGGAAAAUUUAGGAUACAAAUCGGAUGAGAACCGCUGUCCAGCACCGGCCUUGUGAUUCAUUUUCCUGCGUUGUUUAUUUUGCAAAUAUUAAACUCACCGGCUGAAGUCACCGGUUACGUGGACGAUGCGACUCGGUUUGACAUUUUGUUUUUCCAUCUUCUUUGCAUUUCGCUUUUCCGAUUGCCCGUAACACGCGAUCAUCGAAAGGUUUCGUAAUUUGCCAAGUUGCUACGCUCGAAACGAUUGUGCAGAAGUAUAAAAUAAACAGCAAUGUGAUAAAAAGAAAAAGAAAAAAAAAGAAUCGAAUACGAUCAGCUCGUAAUAAAUAGCUUGGACAGUUCCAAGGCGGUGUUGUUAAUCGAGUGCAGCGGAAAAAUUUGAGAAGCGGCAACGUGACGGAUUUCAUCCACGAUUAGAAUUCCCUGGAUUCUGUUGGCAGUGUCGCGACGUGAAAUCGCGCCCUGAAUGUCGUUUAGAACGAUAAGUAUCGCGAAAAUGAUUUGGUUCUGGGAAGGGCCGGGUCUUUGCACACCAUCGACCUGAACUCCAAGAUGGAGAGAAUGAAUUGAAACUCGAAACUGCCAACAAUUUUUUCACUCGAUAUUAUCGAGUUCACCCGAAGUCUUGCUUCGAAAUAAAGAAAAGAAAGGAGGAAUUAACGGAGAGAAGAAUAGCGAGGAAGAAAUGAACUAUUGGGGGAAGGAAAAAUAAUUGCAGGAAUUCUUUUCCUCUGAUUUUAUGAUUUUCACGACGGGAAUAACAUCUUUGAUUGAUGUCUGCAGAGGAACCGGAGGAAGGAAUAAACCAGAGGAAAUAUAAAUAUCGCGACCUGGGUAUUUAUGAGAAAUAUCAGGGUCCUUGGGCCAUCGCAUGAAUCACGCUUCCCGGUAUUUUCGAGAAACGCGUAUGAAUUAAACAUCCGAGCAAUGUGUAUGUGUGUGUGUGUGUGUGUGUGUACAGGUGAUGAUCGUCUUUUCGUCAAGAGACACUGUUUUCCAAUGGAUCUCAUCGGUUAUACAUACGUAUUCAUCGCGUAUGAAACGGAUAGUUUCUUAAAGAAAAAUUUUUACACUGGUCGAUGUUCUGUUCCAACACUUUUACUCCAUGCAAAACAUUUACUCUAUAAUUUUAAGAAACGAAUCUUCUAAUCGAUAUUGCAAAGACCACGAGCAAGAUGUUUUCAACAGUUUGUUCAAAAUUUCUCAGAAUGAUUUUUCUCAGAAUCUCUUAUCCAUCUUGAAAGUGUUGGAGGUCCAGUUGAUGAGCGACGUUACAACUUCGCUGUAUCGGUUUCACCGGCAAUAAUAAGUACUUGAGCAGCAAUCAGCCCAGGCAGCUUUCAUCGCAAUUGUGAAUUGAACACGAAUUGAACGCCUGCCGUUUAAUAUGACCCUAAUCGACUCCGUCCUUCGAAAGAUAAGGGACCCUUUUGCCGUCACCAGCCUCGACAGCCUCUCGAGAGUGUCACGGCUGAUUAUGAACGCAGCAAGAUUAUCGUCGAGGUCUUAACUUCGUUGGUAAGGUUCCAUAACCGUCAAUGGAAUAAUAUCGGCCGGAUAUCAAGGCCUGUCAGAAAAGCAGAGGAGAACUGGCGAAAGAAUGAGCUAAACCGACAUGGAGGAUGGAAGAAUACCAAGAUACAAGAUCAUUGACCGACGAUCUUUGUUAAAAUAUUUCAUCUAUCAAUACCUGUUAGCUCGUAGUAAUUGGAGAUUUUCUUUUGACGAUAAUGAUAUUUGUUUUCAUGUGGAAGAUCAAGUAACGAUGAAAGGGACGAAGAGAAAUGUGAUACGUGUUGAUAAUUCUAGACGAUGGAAAAAGAAAGAAGGAACAGGAUAUCGUGUAAAUAAUCGUGUAAAUAUUUUGCAACGAUUCAUCACGUGUAAAACAAGAUGGCCAUUCCCUUAAUGAAAUCGAAAGUGGUACAGGAAACGUAAAAUACGAUGAAGAAUAAGGAAAUCGUAAAUCGUUCUAUUUAGACGAAAUAGCCAAUUGAUCCAGCCGAUUGUCUCACAUCGAAUUCAGACAGCUCGAAAAAACGACCAUAUUUGCGUUCUCAAUCAACGAACAAAUUGUUGUGACGUGACGUCGAUCAAUAAUAUAUCCUCAUCUUUAAAUAUUAAUAAUUCUACUUGAAAUUGAACUCAUUCAUAAUAUUAAAUACGUCAAAAUUCGCAUUAUA